CAAGUCCGGCUAUUGGUUCGCGCUUUGAUGACGUCAAUGAAAAGUGCGCCGAAAUGUCGUGACGCUGUCGCAAAUUGGUGCUUGCAGCUUUCGUUUGUUGUGUCGGUUUUAGACGGAUUCUGCAGAGUCACUAUGGGUUGAGGAUAUCAAGUGAAACAAUCAAAAGUAAUGAAAUAAAGAGUGCCUAUGGGAAAGGUUUUGUCAGUCUGAGGCAACAGGUCAAUGCAACAGCUAAUAUUACUGAGGAUGAUUUUGGACGUGAAGAAGUUACUGCAGAAGAACUUGAAGAUUAUAGGACCUUAUUCAGCAUUACUAUUUACAUUCAAACGGUUCUCUAUAUUUUUGUGGUAAUGUAUGGUGUAACCCAUCUGGCAAUUUUUGAAGCUGAUGCAAGAAAACGAAGGAUUGCACCAAAUAAUAACCCCAGUCAAACAACAGAAGAGACUGGAGAAGCUAAUGUUGAACAAAAUAUUGUAACUUGAAGAAACAAAUACAUAAAAUAGCCAGAAUGACUUUUUAAUAAUAUAGGUAUCAAUCUGUCUGUCAGCAGGGAUAAAGUUGCAGCCCAGAGUUACAAUGAGUGAUUUGGAAAAUGAAUGUCAUUAGCCUUUUCUUGACGUGACUUUUCUUUUUAGUUAUAUGGUAAAUUUGAAAAUCUUCUUGUAGUAUUUUCAUAAUAAGAAAACCAUGCUUUUUUCUAGUUGUUAAAUUAUUAAAUACUACUACUUUAAGCAUGGAAGUGAACCAAUGCAUUAUAGAGUAUUUUUGAUGUUUAUCCCAGUUACCUUCCAUAAUUUAAAACCUUCUAGAAAAAAUAUUUUGCCAGUAAAUAAGAAAUAAUAUUAAUACAUUUGUUUGUCAAACCAUUUUCCUUUAUUAUCUGGAAAGUUCUGUCUCACU